rnacentral:rRNA from 1 species
CAGUAGCCGCGGGAAUACGAAGGGUGCAAGCGUUACUCGGAAUUACUGGGCGUAAAGCGUGCGUAGGUGGUGGUUUAAGUCCGUUGUGAAAGCCCUGGGCUCAACCUGGGAAUUGCAGUGGAUACUGGGUCACUAGGGUGUGGUAGAGGAUAGUGGAAUUUCCGGUGUAGCAGUGAAAUGCGUAGAGAUCGGAAGGAACAUCUGUGGCGAAGGCGACUAUCUGGGCCAACACUGACACUGAGGCACGAAAGCGUGGGGAGCAAACAGGAUUAGAUACCCCGGUAGUCCCUGUCUCUUAUAC